rnacentral:rRNA from 1 species
UAGUAACGGCGAGURAAGCGGGAUGAGCUCAAGCUUAAAAUCUCCGUACAAAUUUUGUAUGGCGAAUUGUAGUCUAUAGAGGCGUGGUCAGCGCAAGUACUUGGGGUAAGUUCCUUGGAAGAGGACAGCAUGGAGGGUGAUACUCCCGUUUAUCCCUGAGUGGCUUGUGCGUACGACCCGUUUUCUUUGAGUCGCGUUGUUUGAGAAUGCAGCGCAAAGUAGGUGGUAAAUUCCAUCUAAAGCUAAAUAUUGGUGCGAGACCGAUAGCAAACAAGUACCGUGAGGGAAAGAUGAAAAGAACUUUGAAAAGAGAGUUAAAGAGUACCUGAAACUGCUGAAAGGGAACCGAAUCGUUUCCAGUGUCUAUAAUCCGUGGUAUAUUUCAUUUGCUAGGGUGCUGGUGCAUGUGCUGUAGCAGUGGCCUUCUGGCUGCGCUUGGCGCGUGUGUUGUGUGCGCUUGCCGAUGCCCUGUGCUGCGGUGGGACGUCAAUGUCAGUUCGUAUGCUGCGGGAAAUGGCUGCCGAGGAGGUAGGGCUUACGCUUGCGUUUGUCUGUUAUAUCUUGGUAGACUAGUAGUCGCGGUUGGGACUGAGGUGCCUACAACGUGCUUUUGAGUGGGUCUGCGUCUCUUUGUGCGCCGUGUGCAGAUAGCUUGCUAUGUGUGUGUGGUUGUAUAUCGAUUGAUGCGGGCUU